UAUUGGUCAAUGGGCGAGAGCCUGAACCAGCCAAGUCGCGUGAAGGAUGACGGCCCUACGGGUUGUAAACUUCUUUUGUCAGGGAGCAAUUGGGUCCACGCGUGGGCUUAGCGAGAGUACCUGAAGAAACAGCAUCGGCUAACUCCGUUCCAGCAGCCGCGGUAAUACAGGGGAUGCGAGCGUUAUCCGGAUUUAUUGGGUUUAAAGGGUGCGUAGGCGGAAUAUCAAGUCAGCGGUAAAAAUUCGGGGCUCAACCCCGUCGUGCCGUUGAAACUGGUUUUCUUGAGUGAGCGAGAAGUAUGCGGAAUGCGUGGUGUAGCGGUGAAAUGCAUAGAUAUCACGCAGAACUCCGAUUGCGAAGGCAGCAUACCGGCGCUCAACUGACGCUCAUGCACGAAAGUGUGGGUAUCG
rnacentral:rRNA from 1 species